rnacentral:rRNA from 1 species
AGCUCCAAUAGCGUAUAUUAAAGUUGUUGCAGUUAAAAAGCUCGUAGUUGGAUUUCUGACUCGAGGCGCUUGGCCCGUGGAUACUAAUCUACGAGUGUCGGUGUGCCUCAGUCAUCCUUCUAGAAAUUGGCAAUGCUAUUCGUUUAGUUGUUGUCAGGAUCUAGAUCUUUUACUUUGAAAAAAUUAGAGUGUUUAAAGCAGGCUUACGCCUUGAAUACAUUAGCAUGGAAUAAUAACUUAGGACUUUGGUUCUAUUUUGUUGGUUUCUAGGACUGAAGUAAUGAUUGAUAGGGAUAGUUGGGGGUGCUAGUAUUCAGCGGCCAGAGGUGAAAUUCUUGGAUUCGCUGAAGACUAACUUAUGCGAAAGCAUUCACCAAGGAUGUCUUCUUUAAUCAAGAAC